rnacentral:rRNA from 1 species
AGAGUUUGAUCCUGGCUCAGGAUGAACGCUAGCGGCAGGCCUAACACAUGCAAGUCGAGGGGUAACGAUUUCGAGCAAUCGAAAGGCGACGACCGGCGCACGGGUGAGUAACGCGUAUGCAACCUGCCUCUGACUGGGGAAUAGCUUCCGGAAACGGAAAUUAAUACCCCAUAACAUUGCGAAGCCGCAUGGUUUUGCAAUUAAAGCUCCGGCGGUCAGAGAUGGGCAUGCGUGACAUUAGUUUGUUGGUGAGGUAACGGCUCACCAAGACUACGAUGUCUAGGGGGUCUGAGAGGAUGGUCCCCCACACUGGUACUGAGACACGGACCAGACUCCUACGGGAGGCAGCAGUGAGGAAUAUUGGGCAAUGGACGCAAGUCUGACCCAGCCAUGCCGCGUGCAGGAUGACGGCCCUAUGGGUUGUAAACUGCUUUUAUUUGGGAAGAAACCCCCCGACGUGUCGGGGGCUGACGGUACCAAAAGAAUAAGCAUCGGCUAACUCCGUGCCAGCAGCCGCGGUAAUACGGAGGAUGCAAGCGUUAUCCGGAUUUAUUGGGUUUAAAGGGUGCGUAGGCGGGAAAUUAAGUCAGUGGUGAAAUCCUACAGCUUAACUGUAGAACUGCCAUUGAUACUGAUUUUCUUGAGUGCAGUUGAGGUGGGCGGAACGUAUAAUGUAGCGGUGAAAUGCUUAGAUAUUAUACAGAACACCGAUUGCGUAGGCAGCUCACUAAACUGUAACUGACGCUCAGGCACGAAAGCGUGGGUAGCGAACAGGAUUAGAUACCCUGGUAGUCCACGCCGUAAACGAUGAUCACUCGUUGUUGGCGAUACACAGUCAGCGACUAAGCAAAAGCAUUAAGUGAUCCACCUGGGGAGUACGAUCGCAAGGUUGAAACUCAAAGGAAUUGACGGGGGCCCGCACAAGCGGAGGAACAUGUGGUUUAAUUCGAUGAUACGCGAGGAACCUUACCUGGGCUUAANUGCAGGGCGAUUUCUGCCGAAAGGCAGUUUCCUUCGGGCGACCUGCAAGGUGCUGCAUGGUUGUCGUCAGCUCGUGCCGUGAGGUGUCGGGUUAAGUCCCAUAACGAGCGCAACCCUCAUCGUUAGUUGCCAUCGGGUAAUGCCGGGGACUCUAACGAAACUGCCGGUGUAAACCGUGAGGAAGGUGGGGAUGACGUCAAAUCAGCACGGCCCUUAUGUCCAGGGCUACACACGUGUUACAAUGGCCGGUACAAAGGGCAGCUACCUGGUGACAGGAUGCUAAUCUCUAAAGCCGGUCUCAGUUCGGAUCGAAGUCUGCAAUUCGACUUCGUGAAGUUGGAUUCGCUAGUAAUCGCGCAUCAGCAACGGCGCGGUGAAUACGUUCCCGGGCCUUGUACACACCGCCCGUCAAGCCAUGGAAGCCGGGGGUGCCUGAAGUCCGUAACCGUAAGGAGCGGCCUAGGGUAAAACUGGUGACUGGGGCUAAGUCGUAACAAGGUA